rnacentral:rRNA from 1 species
GUGUACGUACAAGCAGUGGGAGCACGCUUAGGCGUGUGACUGCGUACCUUUUGUAUAAUGGGUCAGCGACUUAUAUUCUGUAGCAAGGUUAACCGAAUAGGGGAGCCGAAGGGAAACCGAGUCUUAACUGGGCGUUAAGUUGCAGGGUAUAGACCCGAAACCCGGUGAUCUAGCCAUGGGCAGGUUGAAGGUUGGGUAACACUAACUGGAGGACCGAACCGACUAAUGUUGAAAAAUUAGCGGAUGACUUGUGGCUGGGGGUGAAAGGCCAAUCAAACCGGGAGAUAGCUGGUUCUCCCCGAAAGCUAUUUAGGUAGCGCCUCGUGAAUUCAUCUCCGGGGGUAGAGCACUGUUUCGGCAAGGGGGUCAUCCCGACUUACCAACCCGAUGCAAACUGCGAAUACCGGAGAAUGUUAUCACGGGAGACACACGGCGGGUGCUAACGUCCGUCGUGAAGAGGGAAACAACCCAGACCGCCAGCUAAGGUCCCAAAGUCAUGGUUAAGUGGGAAACGAUGUGGGAAGGCCCAGACAGCCAGGAUGUUGGCUUAGAAGCAGCCAUCAUUUAAAGAAAGCGUAAUAGCUCACUGGUCGAGUCGGCCUGCGCGGAAGAUGUAACGGGGCUAAACCAUG